ensembl:lncRNA novel transcript
GCCUAUGCGGGGCGGGGCCCUGGCGCUAGCCAAUGGCAAAUGUUCUUUUCAGCUUCGCUAAUCCCCGUGGCCAGUUUGUAACUCCCUAGAGUCCAGCUGGAGCCUUCACUCGGUCCUUUGGCCCGCCCCGCCUUGUGGGGGCAGGUCUGGAGGUCUGAAGAGAGUUUGGGCUAAUCCAGGCCCCUUCCCGGCUCCCACCCAACCCCCACUGGCCCCAGGAGACCUGGCUGGAGAAGCCCAUGGGUUCUGAAACCUCCUUUCUCACAGUCUGUGCCCAAAGAUGCUGCCCACUCUUAGUCCGAGUAAGUGUUUGCCGUUUUGACUCUCCUGGGGUCCCAAGUCGUGUCCGGCCCGCCCCACCAGUCAGGAAGAUUCCAUACUGAGUAGGAAGGCAGAGCAAGGGUCUGGUCCCCCCACCACAAUGUGUUUGGAUCCCUAGUUCUUCACUGGCAAAAUCUGCCCUGUCUCUCACAAUAAUGUGAGUCUGAGCAGAAAAUAUUAAUAAUAAACCUAACACUCAUUGCACG